GCCGAGGUGGCGUAAUUGGUAGCCGCGCACGUUUGAGGGGCGUGUGGAGCAAUCUGUAUGGGUUCGAGUCCCAUCCUCGGCA
rnacentral:tRNA from 1 species